CUAAUUGUACCAGGGACGCUGACAGACUUGGCAGAAAGUGUCUUCAUUGAGAAAUUGCGAUCUGAAGUUCUCCCUUGUUCCUUCAGAAACAGGAGGAGAGAGGCAUGGGGGAACCUGACGGGAAGUGAGGAUUCGAGACUUCAAAUACAAACAUUAUGAAAAACAAGCAACAUCUGCAAACAACACUCUUGCAAAGGCACUUCCUGGACAGUUGGAUGUAACAGAGCAAUCUCCAUGCAGCAGGAAACCAGAGAAGGCGAACUUUCAGCAGCCUUAAUAUUUGGAUAAUCCUGCAUAAUGACUUCAGGGUUGCAUCUGGAAAGCUCCACGGGCUCCUCUCCAUGCUAGGCGCCUGGCCCGCUGGGUGACCCGAGUAAGGGGGGGGGGGGGGGGGAGAAAAGGACCCCCGUGUGUAAACAAACAAUUUAUUGCUGCCUCCGCGAAAUGUAAACAAAACCCACCCACCUUGCCCUGGGGAUCGGCUUGGCCUAUCUAAUUUGACAGAACUUGCUGCUCCGCCGGCAUCUCCCGGAGUUGCCUCCCCAACAUCCUGGAAAUUCUAGAGGGAAAAACCACGCACGAGUGGCUGCUUUCUGUGCCUCGUGGAAUCUUAAAUAGAAUGAAACAGGCCUCCAACAAUCAAUAUUACUGACAAAUUAAUCUCUGCGAAUAAACUUGUUAGCUUCAAGGC